rnacentral:snRNA from 1 species
GGAUGUAAGAGGAUCUGGCUGUGACAUCUGUCACCCCAUUGAUUACGAGCGUUAACUCAGCUAGUCUGGCUGGCUAGGCGGGUGUCCCCUUCCUCCCUCACUACUCCAUGUUUGUCCCUCCUGAAGCUGCGCGCUCGGUCAAAGAGGAUGACCAUCCCCAAUAGAGGAGGACCGUUCUUCGUCAAGGGUAUAUGAGUAGCUGAGCUUCCCUAUUAGAACCUCCAAACAAGCUCUGUUUCACUAUAAUGAAAACAGAAAACAAUUUUUAAAAACCCUAAGGAAAUCUUAAUAAAUUAUGGCCUAUUAAUUCAUUA